rnacentral:tRNA from 2 species
GGUGUUGUGGUUCAGUGGUAGAGCACUUACCUAGUAUGCAUGAGACACUGGGUUCAAUCCCAGCACCACAU